ACCAGCGUGAUGAUGGGGAAGAGUACGGCGGGAUUAUUCUUUUCAGGGAGAGAGGGUUGUGACUGAGAACCCUCUUAAAGAAAACUGUCGGAAGUUCGCCCCGGAACUGCAAUCUGAACGUAUGGCCAAACAUAUCAGUAGGUGUUGCCGGCUCUUCUGCCGUUAUCUGGAAGAUGGAUAAACCGAGGUUUAUUCUUUAGAGUGGUUCUAUACGGUUAUGGUCUGGAACAAUUUGGGUGGUACCGCGGAAAAAAUUCCGUCCCUGUU
rnacentral:ncRNA from 1 species